rnacentral:rRNA from 1 species
UACGUAGGGACCAAGCGUUGUUCGGAUUUACUGGGCGUAAAGGGCGCGUAGGCGGCUUAACAAGUCACUUGUGAAAUCUCCGGGCUUAACUCGGAACGGCCAAGUGAAACUGUCAAGCUAGAGUGCAGAAGGGGCAAUCGGAAUUCUUGGUGUAGCGGUGAAAUGCGUAGAUAUCAAGAGGAACACCUGAGGUGAAGACGGGUUGCUGGGCUGACACUGACGCUGAGGCGCGAAAGCCGGGGGAGCAAGCGGG